rnacentral:rRNA from 1 species
GACGAACGCUGGCGGCGUGCUUAACACAUGCAAGUCGAACGAAGAGCGACGGAGGCUUGCUUCUAUCAAUCUUAGUGGCGAACGGGUGAGUAACGCGUAAUCAACCUGCCCUUCAGAGGGGGACAACAGUUGGAAACGACUGCUAAUACCGCAUACGAUCUAAUCUCGGCAUCGAGGAUGGAUGAAAGGUGGCCUCUACAUGUAAGCUAUCACUGAAGGAGGGGAUUGCGUCUGAUUAGCUAGCUGGAGGGGUAACGGCCCACCAAGGCGAUGAUCAGUAGCCGGUCUGAGAGGAUGAACGGCCACAUUGGGACUGAGACACGGCCCAGACUCCUACGGGAGGCAGCAGUGGGGAAUCUUCCGCAAUGGACGAAAGUCUGACGGAGCAACGCCGCGUGAGUGAUGACGGCCUUCGGGUUGUAAAGCUCUGUUAAUCGGGACGAAAGGCCUUCUUGCGAAUAGUGAGAAGGAUUGACGGUACCGGAAUAGAAAGCCACGGCUAACUACGUG